UGCAUAUCAAUAAGCGGAGGAAAAGAAACCAACAGGGAUUGCCUUAGUAGCGGCGAGUGAAGCGGCAAAAGCUCAAAUUUGAAAUCUGGCACCUUCGGUGUCCGAGUUGUAAUUUGAAGAUUGUAACCUUGGGGUUGGCUCUUGUCUAUGUUUCUUGGAACAGGACGUCACAGAGGGUGAGAAUCCCGUGCGAUGAGAUGCCCAAUCCUAUGUAAGGUGCUUUCGAAGAGUCGAGUUGUUUGGGAAUGCAGCUCUAAGUGGGUGGUAAAUUCCAUCUAAAGCUAAAUAUUGGCGAGAGACCGAUAGCGAACAAGUACAGUGAUGGAAAGAUGAAAAGAACUUUGAAAAGAGAGUGAAAAAGUACGUGAAAUUGUUGAAAGGGAAGGGUUUGAGAUCAGACUCGAUAUUUUGUGAGCCUUGCCUUCGUGGCGGGGUGACCCGCAGCUUAUCGGGCCAGCAUCGGUUUGGGCGGUAGGAUAAUGGCGUAGGAAUGUGACUUUGCUUCGGUGAAG
rnacentral:rRNA from 1 species